ensembl:snRNA U4 U4 spliceosomal RNA
AGCUUUGCUCAGUGGCAAUAUUGUAGCCAAUGAGGUUUAUCUGAGGUGCAAUUAUUGCUAAUUGAAAACAUAAGUGUACUUUUAACAUUUUAAGAAACUGCUGGGUUAUUUUCCAAAAU